CUCGAUUGGUGGCGCACUUGGUCAAGUUCUUGGUGGGCUCACGUGUACUUUUAAAAGUAAACCACAUAUUCACGAAGCCCGCUUACAUCAGCGGGCUUUUUAUU
rnacentral:sRNA from 1 species